rnacentral:lncRNA from 1 species
AUGUCCCCCCGGGGGGGCCCUGUCCCGUGUCGCCCCCCAUGGUGGGCACAGAAGGGUCCCUUGUCCCCUAGGGUGGUCACAGGGGUGGCCCUGUCCCCCCCCACCCCCAGGAGUGUCCCCGUGUCCCCCAGGUCACUCAGAGGGUGUCCCCACCCCCCAGGGAACCCCCAGGGGUGUCCCCAUGUCCCCCAGGACACCCCCAGAAGUGUCCCCGGGUCCCCCAGGCCACUCAGGGAGGUGCCCCCAUAUUCCAGGCCACCCCCAGAGAUGUCCCCAUGUCCCCCAGACCACUCAGCUGGUGUCCCCAUGUCCCCCCAGGCCACAUCCAGGAGUGUCCCCACGUCCCCCAGGCCCCCCCCAGGGGUGUCCCCAUGCCCCCCAGACUACCCCCAGGGGUGUCCCUGUCCCCCCAGGUCCCCCCCAGGGGUGUCCCUGUCCCCCAGGUCCCUCCCUGGGGCUGUUCCCACGUCCCCCAGGCCCCCCCCAGGGGUGUCCCCCAGACCACUUGGGGGUGUCCCUGUCCCCCCAGGCCACCCCCAGGAGUGUCCCCAUGUCCCCCAGACCACUCAGAUGGUGUCCCCGUGUCCCUCCAGGCCACUUGGGGGGUGUCCCCGUCCCCCAGGCCACCCCCAGGGGUGUCCCUGUCCCCCAGGCCACAUCCAGGAGUGUCCCCACGCCCCCCAGGGGUGUCCCCAUGCCCCCCAGACUACCCCCAGGGGUGUCCCUGUCCCCCCAGGUCCCCCCCAGGGGUGUCCCUGUCCCCCAGGUCCCUCCCUGGGGCUGUUCCCACGUCCCCCAGCCCCCCCCCAGGGGUGUCCCCGCCCCCCCGGGACACCCGUCGCCCGGUACCUGCAGCUCCUUGAUCCAGGAGCAGUGCCAGUAGGACAGCCCCACCCACUUGACGAAGAACUCGCGCUCGGAGCGGCCCUGCAGCACCUUGGGGGGGCCCUCGGGGGGCCCCUCGGGGGGGGGCACGGCCACCGGGGGGGGCGGCUCCCCCCACCGCCAGUACAGGAUCUUCUGCACCCGCCCCUUCAGCACCGGGCACUGCGGGGACAGCGGCGUUGGGGCGCAGGGGACGUCACCCCCCGGCCCCACCCUGUCCCCACUGCGUCCCCAUCCUGGCCCCAGCCCUGGCCCCGGCCUGUUCCUGUCCCCAGCAGGUCCCUGUCCCUGUCCCCAACCCCAAACCAUCGCUGUGUCUGUCCCCAACACCUCCCUCGCCUGUCCCCAUCCCAUCCCUGUCCCUAUUCCCAUCCCGUCCCUGUCCCCAUCCCAUCCCUGUCCCAACUCCGUCCCCACCAGGUCUCUUGUCCCCAUCCUGUCCCCAUCCUGUCCCUGUCCCCAUCUAUAUCCCUGCCCCUAUCCUGUCCCCAUCCCCAUGUCCUUGUCCUCAUCCCAUCCCAUCCCCAUCCUGUCCCCAGCUCCAUCUGUUCCUUUAUCCCUGUCCCCAUCCCAUCCCCAUCCCUGUCCCUGUCCUGUCCCCAUCCUUGUCCCAUCCUCAUCCCCGACCUGUCCUUGUCCCAUCCCCUCCCUGUCCCCGUCCCCAUCCCUGUCCCAUCCAUGUCCCUAUUCCCAUCCCAUCCCCAUCUACUCCCUGUCCUGUCCCCAUCCCCGUCCUUGUCCCCAUCCUGCCCCAUCCCCGUCUUCAUCCCAUCCCCAUCCAAUCCCCAUCCCUGUCCCCAUCCUGUCCCUGUCCCCACCCCCCUGUCCCCGUCCCCAUCCUGUCCCCAGCUCCAUCUGCUCCUUAUCCCUGUCCCCAUCCCAUCCCCAUCCCCGUCCCUAUUCCCAUCCCAUCCCCAUCCCCGUCCCUAUUCCCAUCCCGUCCCCGUCCCCCCGUACCGUGCAGCGGGGGCAGAGCCACUCCCCGUUGGGGACCUCGGGCAGGGGGGGGUUGAGGCAGUGGAUGUGGUAGGAGGAGAUGCAGGCGUCGCAGCACAGCAGCUCGCCGCCGUCCUUGCAGACGCGGCAGUACUCCAUGUGGUCGUCCUCCUCCUCCUUCUCGCAGUGGGGGCAGCUCCAGCGCCCCUCGGGCGCGCGGUCGAGCUCGGGGUCGAGGCAGACGAGGUGGUAGGCGCGGGGGCAGGUGUCGCACAGGAUGAUCUCCCCCCCCUGCUGGCACACCUCGCAGUAGUCCUGGUGGUCGGUCUCGUAGCCGUCCCCGUCCUCCUCCGGCCCCGGGCCUGCGGGGACAGCACCGCCCGCUGCCACCGAGCCCCAGGGGACACGGGGGGGGGGCGUGGGGACAGAGGGGUGGGGGGCGGGGGGAUGGGGGUGGGGGUGGGGAGAAGGGGGUGGGGGGAUGGGGACAUUGGGAUGGGGGUGGGGGGAUGGGGGCAGGGGACGCUGGGGACAGUGGGGGGAUGGGGCACUGGGAGCACUGGGGAUGGGGAAUGGGGUUGGGAUGGGGACAGGAUGGGGAGAGGAUGGGGACAGGGAUGGGGACAGGGACAGGAUGGGGAUGGGGACAAGGUGGGGAAAGGGACAUGGAUGGGGACAGGAUUGGGACAGGAUUAGGACGGGGAUGGGGACAAGGAUGGGGACAGGGGAUGGGGAAAGGGAUGGGGAGAGGAUGGGGACAGGGACAGGAUGAGGACGGGAGCAGGGAUGGGGACAGGGACAGGGAUUGGGAGAGGGGACAGAGACACAGGUGGGGACACCGUGGUCAAUGGGGCCACCACGGGCACUGGGGGACGCCUGGGGACAGGAGCACCUAGGGGUAAGGUCAGAUUUUGGGACACAAGGGACACCAGGGAGAGAUGGGGGGACAGGGAUAUGGGGACAGGGGCGUGGGGACAAUGGGGAUGGGGACAUCAGGACACGAGGGGCAGCAGGGAUGGGGACAGCGGGGACAGAUGGUGGGGACACCUGGGGACACACAGACGUCAGGACAUGGGGACAUGGGAACAACGGGGACACGGACAAGGGAGAGCCCCCGGCCAGACGGUGUGGAGGGGGACCCGGGGGACCCCCAGCCCCAAACCCAGGAGAUGGGGGGGGGCGAGGGGGGUGCCCCUUGCUCCAGGGUGGCCCCUCGGCUUUGGGGACGCCGUGGGGACAAUGUGGGGACAGCGAGGGGGCUCUCACCGUGUGCGGGCACAGCGCCCGUCCCCGCGGGGCCGCGCUCCCGGUUGAGGAUGGUGCAGGGGGCUGCAAGGAGAGACGGCGGCGGCGUCACCCGCGGCCCCGCAGCGGGGAGGGGACACGGGGAGGGGGGUGGGGGAGGGCACGGGGAGGGACGAGGGGCCAGGGGGGAGGACGGGGAGGUGGCGCUCGGGGCCAGGGGCCACUCACCCUUCUUCUUCUUGCGGCCGGGGCGGCCCCGCUUCAGCUUCUUGAUGCGGGCGGCGGGGUCGGAGCGCGCCGAGGCGCUGUGCACGCUCGAGCUCUCCGCGUCCGACUCCUCCUCUGCCUCCCCCGCGUCCUCGCUCUGCAACGGGACGGGGACACGGGGACACUGGGGACACUGGGAGGCACUGGGGGGAAUGAGGGGCACUGGGGGGGAAUGGGGGACACGGGGCUGUGGGGGGUGGUGAGGGGAGAUGGGGUUGGGGGACGCUGCGGGGGGAUGGCAGGGGGUGGGGGACACCUCUGGGUGACACCCGAGGGUGAGGAGGGGACAUGGGGACACCUCUGGGUGACACCCGAGGGUGAGGAGGGGAUGUGGGGUCGGGUGCCACCAGCUGGGGACACCAAGAGCAUGAGGAGGGGCUCAGGGACACCUCUGGGUGACACCCGAGGGGUUAGAUUCCACCACCUGGGGACACCAAGAGGGUGAGGAGGGGACACGGGGACACCUCUGGGUGACAGCAGAAGGUGAGGAGAGGCUGGGGGACACCUCUGGGUGACACCACAGGGUGAGGAGGGGUCAGGUGCCGCCACCUGGGGACAUCUGAGGGCGAGGAGGGGACGUGGGGACACCUCUGGGUGACACCAAGAGGGUGAGGAGGAGCUCAGGGACACCUCUGGGUGACACCAGAGGUCGAGGAAAGGACAUGGGGACACCUUUGGGUGACACCCAAGGGUUAGAAGGGAACAUGGGGACACCUCCAGGUGCCACCUGAGGGCAAGGAGGGAACGUGGGGACACCUAUAGGUGCCACCCAAGGGUUAGAAGGGGACAUAGGGACACCUCUGGGUGCCACCUGAGGGUGAGGAGGGGCUGGGGGACACCUGUGGGUGCCACCUGAGGGGUUGGGUUCCAUCACAUGUGGACACCAGAGGGCAAGAAGGGGACGUGGGGACACCUCCGGGUGCCACCCGCGGGGCCGGGUGCCACCAGUGGGGACAGCAGGGGACAGCAGGGGACAGCAGGGGACAGCGGGGGCCAGGGGGGGCCAGCGGGGCCGUACCGAGCUGCUCUUCUUGCGCUUGCCGCCGAGGACGCCCAGCUUGAUCUUGAGCGGUGCCAUCUUCUUGCCCUUCAGCUUCCGCUUCAGCUCCGGCACCCGCGGGCUCUUGCUGCGCUUCUUGUGCCCGGGCCCUGCCAGGGGACACCGCUGUCCCCAGGGCUCCUGUCCCCAACGGAGGGGGGGGGGACCUGGAGCCUUGUCCCCAACGGGGAGGGGACCUUGGGGUCUCGGAAGGUUGUCCCCAACGGGGAGGGGACCCGGGGGUCCUGGCACUUUGUCCCCAACAUGAAAGGGACCAAUGGGUCCUGGCACCUUGUCCCCAACAGGGAGGUGACCAACGGGUCCCAGUGCCUUGUCCCCAAGAAGGAGGGUCCCCGGGGGUCCUGAUGCCUUGUCCCCAACACAGAGGGUCCCCGAUGGUCCCUUCACCUUGUCCCCAACACGG